GAUACUCUUUUACAAACAUAUUAUAAUCACAUUACUUGUCCUUUUCAUUACUAUUAAAAUUAAAUAAAGGAAAAGAAAGCAACUAAAUACAAUAUGGUUUACCAUUUUAGAAUAGAAAUUAGCUUAACCUAGCCUUCACUUAUUCUUAAAAAAAAAAAUCUAAGAGAAAAUGUUCAAAGUACUAAAAUACACAUAUAAUGCCACUCAAACAUGUACACUGCAACCUACCACUCAUAUGAACGCACACUCGAAAGAAAUCACAAAACCCCCCUCAAACAUCACGCCCGCUGACCUGCACAGCUUUUCAACAAUGUUUUGCUAUAUGAAAAAAAAAAAAAUACUACCCACAAACGCAACCUGGUGGCGAAGCUAGGAACUACAACAUGGAUUUCAGAACAAGUAUAUAGAUAGAUAAACAUCAACUACCGCAUUUUCCGGAC